UACCCUUCUUUGUCUAACCGUUUGGCUAGAUAUUGAAGGGCAAAAUUGCAAUUUUCCAUUCUGUUCAUGUUGCUGUGUCUGUUUCGUUGAGACACUCUCCCACUACGUUCUCCCUCUUCGAUUUCUCUCUCAGAACCGAGGAAGAACAUUGCAACUUCCACUAUUUCCGAUUAUUUUGGUAUGUUCUCCUUCUUCGUUUUCUCUCUCGAAACCGAGGAAGAACACUCUAACUUCCACUAUUUUCUUUUCUCCUAACCUCUCUUAAAUUUCUCCCUGUUCGGUUUCUCCUUCAAACCCUUAGUCAUUCGUACCCUAUCCUCCACGAAGACGUUAUCUCCCACGAAAUGGCCCAUUAGAGGAUGAACUCUCCCACAAUUUCUCUCACGAACGGGGAGUGCAGUUAUCUCGAGAUCUAUAUAAAUGGAAUUUGUCCAUGCCUUGGAGUACACACAACUUCCAUUUCUAAAAGAGCUACUCGACCAAAGAAACAGGGGAUUUUCGAGAGGUUUGUACAUGGAGACGUGAAGCCAGAAAACUUUCUACUUGACCAACCUGGAACUUUUGAUGAAAAGAAGUUAUUUUUCAUUGAUCUUGGUUUGGGACAAAGAUGGUGAAGAGGAGUGAAAAUAGCUCAUGUCAAGACAAGAAGCCUUACUUCUUCAAGAUUUUGCUACCGGGGCUCCCCACCCAACAAUUGCGGAUUCCUCCAAAUUUUACGAGGCACAUUUCGAAAAAAGCAGCUGGAAGAGCAAUCCUAGAAGAUCGUAGUGGUUAUCUUUGGUUCGUCAAAUUAAGAUAGACUUCAAGUGGCAUAUAUCUAGGGGAAGGGUGGCAGGAUUUUUUAGUAGAUCACUCUAUACUAGAUAAUGAAUUUUUACUAUUUCGAUAUGAUGGAAAUCUGAUAUUC